GGUUUUUAUCGAUUACUGACCUACGACAACCAUUUCGCCCGACGUACGUAGGCUUCGACUGCAAGUACGAAAACAACGAUACUAAAAUCUGACAAUACGAAUUUGUAGCUCUCUUAAUAAUUCAUCAGAACAACAUUAUUGAAUUUGGAAAUUCUCGUUCAAGUACGCGGGGUAGGAAACCCUUUCUGCUAUAUUUUGAAGAUUACAAAGCACAAAGGGAAUACGGAAUGCGAUCGUGACUAUAAACCCUAUUUACAAUUGUAAAUAAUUUUGUAUAUUUUUUUAACUGUUGAGCCACUCAGAGGCCAUACUCGUCAACUGCACAAAUUAGAAAGCAGAAGAAGAAGGUAAUGAUAAUAUAAAUAUCAUUUCUGAAAUUUAACUUGGAAUUUUCUAUUCCUUGCAUUAUCUUCUUGUAAUAAAUUAAUGUAUGGAAGCAAAUAAUUUGUUUUCUGAGAAUGAAACAUUAGUCGUGUACUUAUGUAGAAAAAUAGAGAAAUUGACCGAAACAAACCGAUAGAAGAUUGUCGUGAUGUUGUUAUUUUUGCAAUAUCGAUUUUCAUUUAACUAAUUGUGUCAAACAGUUAUUUAUGAUGUACGCGACAAAAUUAAUCGUUUGCAAUAUACAUACUACUGUGAGCUCCGUGUAACGCUAUGAUUUUCCCAAUGGAGUUCGAUCGUUGCUUUAUGAUGGCCAUCAGGCCUCGAUCUCUAGAGACCUAUCGGGACGGUUUAACGGCAAGACGUUAAUUAACGUAGGUCCCCUAUCACUGACCUUGCUACGUUGGUAGCAAGUUCUGCUGGUGGUAGACUUAUUAUGUCGUCGACUAUACGUUUGGGACCUACCCCAAUCAAAGCGAGACUAAACUCUUGCGUUCCCAGGCCAGACCUAAUCGUCUUGAGUCACGCGACGAACAGGGGGCAUCUAGAAAGUGCUAGGGAGCUUUUUGCACGCAUUUUUGGAUCCCCAUGGUAUUCACCACUCGUGAUCAGUCGAACGCAUCGGACAGAAAGUAUUAUUUACGCUAGUCACUUGGAACAGCCGGACAGUAUUCGUCAUUGUACCGUAUACUUCUGUGUAUACGCCAUUAUCUUUAUGCGUUUAAGACGUGUACUUUCAUGUGGUGAACAACCGUGCGAACCAUCAGGAUCCUCGGUCGAACGAAUUUGGUUUACGUAGGUUCGUCACAUGCACGCUAUUCCAUAGAAUUCGUAUACGGUAUAACAUUAUCUUAGCAUCUACAACAUUAGUAUGUUUUAUCAAAAUUCGUUGCACUUAUCAGACACCAUUUAUGUCGUUUUUUUAGUAUUGAAACGUAUGCUUUAACCUUUACAGAGAUAAUAAAAAAAGCAGUUACUCAACCAUUACAUAGGUAGGUUCAAAGCUUUAGUGUUUAAAAGUUUUGAGGAAUAUUUUUACUAGAGAAUAGAAGACUGUUAAAAGAAAUACAGGAGUUGUUAAAUUAAAUACAGAAUUACAUCCUGCAAGAGAAUCUUAUAGCAUCGUUUCCUAUCAAACCAUCAAAAAUUUCUAUGAGAAAAAAUUCAAUUCGACGAUAUUCCUUGAACUUCAAGCUAUCGAUUGCACCGCAACCUUGACUUCCACCGCGGUCUUUUAAUAGCUGCCGCAAUCUAGCUUCGAGAACGUCGUUCCUCUUCAUCGUAACCCCUAACUUGAUUGAAGAUACAACGUUCCAUAAUCACUACCCCUCGCAGUAUCGAUCUCCGCAAGACUUGAAAAGGAUCCUACGUUCGAUCCCCGUCCGCUGUUCAACGUCUACGGUGAAAGUCAGACAGCAGGCAGGCAAUCCAUUUCCAAGUGGAAAUCGUGAACUUGAUAUCGAAAAUCGUCGAGUAGUCCUGCUUCCAUCGUCACGUCCGCUAAUCGUCGUUUCCUCGUCGCUCUGAUUCUCCCGAACAAUGUUAGUCGAGCGCCGGAGAAAGGCAAAAAUUUUCCUUCUCGAUCCAACAACAAUGUCUUGUCGAUAGGUUUUCGGCUGCCGGCUCCUACACUCCUUGGCGAUGCGAUGAUAGGAUGCAUCGCGUGAACCUGGUCGAGCUACAUACCAUAGCGAAGCGGAGACUAUAGUCGCUGGCUAGACUGCACCCCCGCCGACCGGGGAGAGAAGGUCGACGGAGAUCGCGGGACGGGGGUAGGAGCAGUGGAGACGAGGAUGGGUGGGGCAGUCGGAUACGGUGGAGCAAGAGGGAAAGCAGCGGAGAAAAGAGAGAAAGGGAGGAGAGAGUAGAGAAGGGAUGUGAAAGAGGGAGAAAGAGGUAGGGCGCAACGGGGGCGAGGGUUCCGACGGUUCGAGGUAGGGGGCGAUGGCUAGACACCGCUCAGACGGUCCAGGGGGUCGCAGGGGGUAAUUUCUGCAUUGGCGUCGAGAGCUGGGAAACGGUCGACAUCGACGAGGCCAGACCGAGCCAGACAGAGAGACUGCAGCUGGCACGAUCGUGGUCGACAGGUUGGCCUUUCGGGUAAGGUCAGGGUAUAUGUCCGCUUGGCGCGCACCGUUUCACCGUGCACCUGCAUCGAUGACGGUCAAUGUGCGCACAUGUUCUGAUUACGUGCGUAAAACAAAAAAGGAUGUCGCGACGGUACGGCGCGGCGGCGCGACCCGACUCCGCGCGUGGGCUGCCAGUCCACGCCUUGUGAAUUCGAUUUCCAUCUGACAGUCCUCGUUAAACGGGUAAACUCGUUUCCUCCGAAACUCGUUUCGAUUAGCUGUAAACGCAUGCACGACGUGUCGGUAAUUGCUGAUGCGGUUCCAUAAUUCAUGCGGGCUUCUCCCUCUCGACUACCGAUAAGUUAUUUCUAGUCAGGUGUUCACCGAUGGUUAGCGAUGCAUCUAUGUUACGUAUAUUCUUCGUUAUGUUAAACAAAUCGUGCAGUAUCGCGCAGUAAACAUAGCUGCAGUACCGUUUCUUUAACGUAUAGAAACGUUUCGAUAGAGACGCGCAUAUAAGAAACAGCGGCCGAUGACAAUUGCGCGAAUUUCACGCUAGAAAGUAAGUAGAGCGAGAAGAAGGUUAACCAUCGACUUGGUUCGAUCAACUGGGGUGGAAUAACGAUGGCUGAGGCUAGAGCAAGAAACCCUAACGUGGUACGCCAAUGCAUCGGAUGGCCAGGAAAGCGGCGGACUGUUUUUUAUCGAGUGACUGCAGAGAGUUGAGAGUUGAGUCGAGUCGAAGCGGGUCUAGACGAGCGGGCGUCUGCCAUCUUCUUUGCCUCCUUAUAGUCAAGUCCGUCCUACUGGCUGCUCGUCGUUUACCGUCGCCUUACGUGGCUUCUCGUUUCCUACGCCAAAGAAGAAGAUAUAGUUUUCCUUGUUAAAGACGUGCCGAUUCCUAGUAUUGGCUGCAACCUUGCCGUCUUCAUCGGCAAUCACGCGGAAGCGUCGAGAACGAGAGACAAGAUCGCAAAAAAAGAAGCUUACACGAAUUCUAGCGUCGCGUCCGGGGGAAACUGUCACACUCGUCUUGGUCUAACAGGAACAGUACAACAAGAAAGAAACGAGAAUCCUGUCCGAUGUAAUGCGAAACGACAGUUCCAGUCGCUGUCGAUCGACUUUGUACGUUCCUUUCCGGAAAUGUUACUGAGUAAACCUUUUCUUUUCACGUGAAAAAUUCUUGGUCGUAGUUGAUCAACUCUCCCUCUUUACCAACUACCUUGAAUAUCCCUAACAAUGGGAGUUUGUUAAUCAGUCAAAGUUUUACCUCGAGUAUCUCUCAUUUCACGUCACAAUCCAACCACUUCAACUUACGCAGGCUUCGUACUCUGUUGUUCCCCAUGAAGAAACAAGAACCGUUGCCCGACUAAGUACAACUCUUUUCAAUCAAGUCCCAUCAAACGGAAUAGCACUCGGUCAAGCCGUAUGUGGCUCCAUGUUGCAUAGGUUCCCUGGAAAUUCCAUUCUAUUUGCGAGCUGUUCUUCGGGAACAAGCGUUGCCACUUGGACUCUCGCGGAAGCGUGAAACGUUGGGUGCUCGGCGAACGGAUGGAGAAACGGACAGACGGGUGGACAGGAUACGCAGGGACAGGUGGCCGUUUGACGAUCGUAAGUGGGCAGGAAGGAGGACAUCGGGGCCCUGACGCGCUCGGGGAACAACAGACGAUCGAACAGAGAGCGCGACAAGCGAUAGAACGAGAAGGAGAGGUUACGAUUCCAUGUGUCCAUCCGAUGUGUGCAAUGCAAUUUCCCGCAGGGCCGUCUGUCUGUUUGCGCGGUCGUGCAUGCUACUUACGCCAUUGUUCCUCCCCCUUUUCGCAUACGAAAGUGAACAUUCCCGCGAUCAGGAUGGAAUAUAACGCGAUGGCGCGAUUGUCCGGUUAAAACUGCCGCAUGACGUAUAUCGGAUCUCGGUCUCUGCAAACCCGUCAGUUUCGGUCUCCCGAUCGUCCAGAAGGAUACACUUUUGUUCGGUGAGCCGAGCCCGCAUUCUUGAACACCUUGAUCGUUCCGCCGACCGAAAACUCGACAUUCACUUCGCCGAACCGUCGUGCAUUCUCUGUGACGCUUGAAUCUUUCAUGCUACCGUGGGUAUAAAUACGCGUCCCACUGAGACUUCGUAGAUAGAAUUCCGUGCAAAACGUUCCCCAAAAUCCCUGCGAUAUCGUGUCUGUACAGUUGAAAUUUCAGGGAACCAGCUUCUUAAGAGAGAAACGUUUGAUAAACUUGAUCCUGGAAUGACUCAAUGUCACUGGGAAGGUAUAUAUACUGUGUUCUUCAGGACAAUUACCAUUAAUUUUAAUGGUAAAAAGAAUUUUAUGAAGAUUAUGAGGAAAAUUUGUAGUCCUUAUUACACUGUAUUCAAGUACGCUCUUUAUGAAAGUUAUUAUUAAUUUUAGAAAAAGAAGCGUAAGAAGAAUUUUAUGGAAGUUACGAGGGAAAUACUUUUUUUAUGGGAAAUUUUAUACAUUCAGAAUUAAGUUCCAUCUUUGCAUUAAUGUGACAUUCUCCGUUAACGAUAUCUCCAAUACAGAAUGUAAUAAUUAUCUUGCGACUGGUUUUCAGUUAAAAAAGACGCGCGUCGUAUCUGGUUUUUCACAAUAUUACAUUGCCAAUGAGUCUUUUAUUAUCGAUGAAUAUUUAACGCAAGUCUAUGAGGGUCCAGGGCUGAAUCAUCGAAGAAAAAGGAGAAUCGCAUGAGAAGGGACGAAGGACUGCGAAGGCAGAUUUCGAUCUGUUCGUCUGCCUGUCCAUCCGUCGGCCGUCGUGAGGGGGAUGCCCGACGUAACGUUUCAAUGUCAUGGUCGCAGGUUUAGACGGUCCCCUCCUCUUUCUCCCUCUUGCACUGCGGGGUAGACCGCUCGAACCACAUCUGCUGCCGUCAGGAGCUGCCGUUUAACACCAUCCAUAAUCAUCCAACAUUGACGCGCGACGCAGACUAUAAAUCACAAUGAAUGCAUUCUUAUUUUUGGAUGUAGUCGUUCGUGGUCGCCUGAAAGAUGUUGCUCUCAUAAAUUCUUUUCAUUAACUGGGUAUCUUUUAUGUGUCAGGCUUGAAUAAUAAAAUAGACAGACUCGUAGACCGUUGAAAGAGAAUCUUCUUUCUUGGCGGAUGACUAAUUUGACACGUUAACCUUUAAUUCUUACGGUUAAA